rnacentral:rRNA from 1 species
UACGAAGGGUGCAAGCGUUACUCGGAAUUACUGGGCGUAAAGCGUGCGUAGGUGGUUUGUUAAGUCUGUUGUGAAAGCCCCGGGCUCAACCUGGGAAUGGCAAUGGAUACUGGCAAGCUAGAGUGCGGUAGAGGGUAGUGGAAUUCCCGGUGUAGCGGUGAAAUGCGUAGAGAUGUGGAGGAAUACCGAUGGCGAAGGCAGCCUCCUGGGCCAACACUGACGCUCAUGCACGAAAGCGUGGGGAGCAAACAGG